rnacentral:lncRNA from 1 species
UGGCAACAUAGUAGUUCCAAUGAUCACCAAAAUCAUCCAACACCUGUAUAUAGUGGGCACCUACAUUGUAUUAAAAUAUAAUGAUUCUGAGAUAAAGCAUAUCCAAACAGUUCACCAAAAAAAAAACUGGAUUUUUUCACAUUUGUUCUGUUUCCAUGGUAACGGUAGCCAUCUUGAACCAUUCCAUGCUUCCUGCAACUCUGCACUGGGGUCCUUACUAUAGUAGAGUUCCAUCAACAUUGGUCCAUUGGAUUUCGAGAAAUCACCUGGACAAAAUUUGUUGCAAGAAAAAUAAUAAUAAUAAUAACUAGAUUUGUAAUUGCUAGCAAUAACGGAUGGCACCCUUCCCCUAUUGCCAGGUGAGCGGCGGCCAUUUAGAAAAUUCCAAACUCAAAAGUCAAGUCUACAUAAGCUAGGCAACAUUUGUUAUAAGUUUCCUUAAAUUUGAAGCAUUUUGAAGUUUUUCAUAUUUUUGCUGUUUCCAUGGUAACGGCGGCCAUUUUGAAUAUUCCAAAGUCAAACCCAUGCUGCAUUUUUUGCCCUCAAUUAAUAUACCAUUUAAUGUCUCUAGAAUAAAUUUAACAUUGAUGUUCUGGAAUGUUCUGUGAAAAUUCAAAGUUUUGACCUUUUUGCAUUGUUUCCAAGGUAACAACAGAUAUUUUGGAAAUUCCAACGCCAAAUUCC